CUUUAUUGGAGAGUUUGAUCCUGGCUCAGGACGAACGCUGGCGGCGUGCCUAAUACAUGCAAGUCGAGCG
rnacentral:rRNA from 3 species